rnacentral:rRNA from 2 species
AGACCCGAAACCCGGUGAUCUAGCCAUGGGCAGGUUGAAGGUUGGGUAACACUAACUGGAGGACCGAACCGACUAAUGUUGAAAAAUUAGCGGAUGACCUGUGGCUGGGGGUGAAAGGCCAAUCAAACCGGGAGAUAGCUGGUUCUCCCCGAAAGCUAUUUAGGUAGCGCCUCGUGAAUUCAUCUCCGGGGGUAGAGCACUGUUUCGGCUAGGGGGCCAUCCCGGCUUACCAACCCGAUGCAAACUGCGAAUACCGGAGAAUGUUAUCACGGGAGACACACGGCGGGUGCUAACGUCCGUCGUGAAGAGGGAAACAACCCAGACCGCCAGCUAAGGUCCCAAAGUCAUGGUUAAGUGGGAAACGAUGUGGGAAGGCCCAGACAGCCAGGAUGUUGGCUUAGAAGCAGCCAUCAUUUA